GGAUUCUUGGCUCAGUGUCUCCGCUCUGGUAAGCUUAUGCUCUCCUCUCAAGACGCAUUAAAGCUUUCCUGCAGAAGGAUCCGAGUGUCCCGUGUAUGAUUUCUUGCUGGCGAGAAAUACAGAGAGCGCGCGGGACAUAUGGUGCCGAAACCCGGGAACAUGUGAACAUUUCCAGCACCUCGGAGACCCCUCUAACGAGGCGGAUUCAGAACUGCAGGGUGGUAAAUUCGGAGAGGUUAAUAUAGAGGCUUCUAUGCUUUUACUAGGAGCUAUUUUGACUUUUCUCACUGUUACAACAAUCUUAAAGAAGUCCAGAAUUACAUAUCAGAAACCGAAUGUGGUGAGAGAUGGGGCGCGCCUAACAAUAAAAUAUAAGAAAAAAGGACCUCCCGGGAUGUCUAGUGACAAGGGAGUGAAUAAUUUGUUAAGAGAAACAGCAAUAAAUAAGAAAAAAGGACCUCCUGGAAUGUCUACUGACAAGGGAGUGAAUAAUUUGUUAGAUGAUUCUGUAAAUGAGAUUAAAGCUUUAAAUCUUGAUAGCUCUAAUGACUCUAAAAGCUCAAGAGAUAAAGUUUUAGAGGAAACAGCUCAGCUAGGUGAAAAAGAAACAAAAAUGGAGGGAGAGAAAAUAGGAGAUAACCGGUCACACCCCGGUAAAUUUAAGAGAAAUAAAGACUUAAAACCUAGCCUCUGCCCUGCAACGAAACUGGAAGCCUUGGAGCUGAACAGCUCAGACUCUGAGAUUUUAGACUCUAGCAAGGAAGCAGAGCUAGAGAAAGAAGCAGCACGAUACCACCCCGAUAGAUAUCGGCUGCCAAAAAUGCCAGCGGGUGUGCUUCCAUCAGCACCCCCACUAUUUGGUACCGACUCCUUUUUACCAUCAAAGGAGCGGAAAAAAUUACAGAUGGCUUUCCCAGUCUUUGAUAGGGGAAAAGGCCGUGCAUGUUAUUCAACACUGCUUGGAGGCCUGGGAUGCCUGGAAAAAGCCUCAUAUCCUAAAGUUGCUCAAGUAAUUUAUGUAUGCUUGUUUUAAAAUGUUCUAUUUCCUGGUACGGCCAUUUUGUAGCUGGUCACAUGACUGACGGUAGCCAUUUUGCUAAAGUUAAAAAAAGGAUACUUAGACCGCCAUCUUAACUAAAGGUUACCGCAUGGAAAUCAGAGGUACCAUCUUAGAAACAAG
rnacentral:lncRNA from 1 species